rnacentral:sRNA from 1 species
GCCAGGCACAGUGGUGCAUGCCUGUAAUCCCAGCGGCUUGGGAGGCUGAGACAGGAGGAUCACGAGUUCAAAGCCAGCCUCAGCGGCAAGGUGCAAAGCAACUUAGUGAGACCCUGUCUCUA